GGACUACAAGGGUUUCUAAUCCUGUUUGCUACCCACGCUUUCGUGUCUCAGUGUCAGUCGUGGUCCAGUAAGCUGUCUACACCACAGGUGUUCCUCCUGAUAUCUACGCAUUUCACCGCUACACCAGGAAUUCCGCUUACCUCUCCCACACUCUAGCACUCCAGUUUCCGCCGCACCCUCCCAGUUGAGCCGGGAGAUUUCACAACAGACUUAGAGCACCACCUACACACUCUUUACGCCCAGUAAUUCCGAACAACGCUCGCUGCCUACGUAUUACCGCGGCGGCUGGCAC
rnacentral:rRNA from 1 species